rnacentral:rRNA from 1 species
AGAGUUUGAUCCUGGCUCAGGAUGAACGCUGACAGAAUAGCUUAACACAUGCAAGUCAAUGGGGAAACGGUGCUUGCACCGUGAUAACCAUGGCGGACGGGUGAGUAACGCGUAAAGAACUUGCCUCUUAGUCUGGGAUAACAGAUGGAAACGACUGAUAAAACUAGAUAUUAUUAAAGUUUCGCAUGAAGCUUUAAUGAAAAGAGAUGCUAAGAGAGAGCUUUGCGUCCUAUUAGUUAGUUGGUGAGGUAACGGCUCACCAAGACGAAGAUAGGUAGCCGGUCUGAGAGGAUGAACGGCCACAAGGGGACUGAGAUACGGCCCUUACUCUUACGGGAGGCAGCAGUGGGGAAUAUUGGACAAUGGAGGAGACUCUGAUCCAGCAAUUCUGUGUGCACGAAGACGGUUUUCGGAUUGUAAAGUGCUUUCAGCAGGGAAGAAGAAAGUGACGGUACCUGCAGAAGAAGCGACGGCUAAAUACGUG